UGUGACUGGUGGAAACAAUGGGUUAUUUUAUGACCCGGAGUGGAUACGACAAUUCCUCAGCACAAAGUCCCUACAAGUAGCUAGCUACUCUUAUAAAUACCAGAGUUUGUUACAAGGUUCAGUACCAAUCCAUUAAUCAAUUAUACAGAACACGCCUCUUCCUAAUCCUCCCCUACCAUCAAUCUCCCAAAGCCAGAAGCGCCAUCUUCAUUUUCCAUCAUCAAUUCUUCUUCAUUAUCAUCAUGAAGCAAAAGAUGGUGAUCAGCCUCUCUGUGCACGACGAGAGGUCUCGAUCCAAGGCAAUGAGGACAGCAGUUGGAGUUUGUGGGGUGGAUUCAGCAAGUCUGCUAUUGGACAAGGACCAAAUUGAAGUAACAGGAAAUGAUGUUGAUGUGGUUUUGCUCACAACACGACUCGCUCAGAAAAAGAGUCAAGUGCGCUAAUCCUAUGGUCGUCAGUGUGAGCCCUGUCAAAGAGGAGGGGAAGAAGAAGGAGGAG